GACGAACGCUGGCGGCGUGCCUAAUACAUGCAAGUAGAACGCACAGUUUAUACCGUAGCUUGCUACACCAUAGACUGUGAGUUGCGAACGGGUGAGUAACGCGUAGGUAACCUGCCUGGUAGCGGGGGAUAACUAUUGGAAACGAUAGCUAAUACCGCAUAAUAUUGAUUAUUGCAUGAUAAUUAAUUGAAAGGUGCAAUUGCACCACUACCAGAUGGACCUGCGUUGUAUUAGCUAGUAGGUGAGGUAACGGCUCACCUAGGCGACGAUACAUAGCCGACCUGAGAGGGUGAUCGGCCACACUGGGACUGAGACACGGCCCAGACUCCUACGGGAGGCAGCAGUAGGGAAUCUUCGGCAAUGGACGAAAGUCUGACCGAGCAACGCCGCGGGAGUGAAGAAGGGUUUCGGAUCGUAAAGCUCGGUUGUAAGAGAAGAACGGGUGUGAGAGUGGAAAGUUCACACUGUGACGGUAUCUUACCAGAAAGGGACGGCUAACUACGUG
rnacentral:rRNA from 1 species